UACGUAGGCAGCAAGCGUUGUUCGGAGUUACUGGGCGUAAAGAGUGCGUAGGCGGUCCUUUAAGUUUGGUGUGAAAGCCCCCGGCUCAACUGGGGAGGGUCACGCGAUACUGAUCGACUCGAAGGCAGGAGAGGGUAGUGGAAUUCCCGGUGUAGUGGUGAAAUGCGUAGAUAUCGGGAGGAACACCAGUGGCGAAGGCGACUACCUGGCCUGUUCUUGACGCUGAGGCGCGAAAGCUAGGGGAGCAAACGGG
rnacentral:rRNA from 1 species